UACGUAGGGCGCAAGCGUUGUCCGGAAUUAUUGGGCGUAAAGAGCUCGUAGGUGGUUUGUCGCGUCUGCCGUGAAAGCCCGGGGCUUAACUCCGGGUCUGCGGUGGAUACGGGCAGACUAGAGGCAGGUAGGGGAGAACGGAAUUCCUGGUGUAGCGGUGAAAUGCGCAGAUAUCAGGAAGAACACCCGUGGCUAAGGCGGCUCUCUAGUACGGUACUGACGCUGAGACGCGAAAGCGUGGGGAGCGAACAGG
rnacentral:rRNA from 1 species